rnacentral:rRNA from 1 species
UACGUAGGGUGCAAGCGUUAAUCGGAAUUACUGGGCGUAAAGCGUGCGCAGGCGGUUUUGUAAGUCUGUCGUGAAAGCCCCGGGCUCAACCUGGGAAUUGCGAUGGAGACUGCAAGGCUUGAAUCUGGCAGAGGGGGGUAGAAUUCCACGUGUAGCAGUGAAAUGCGUAGAGAUGUGGAGGAACACCGAUGGCGAAGGCAGCCCCCUGGGUCAAGAUUGACGCUCAUGCACGAAAGCGUGGGUAGCGAACAGG